CAAGAACUUCCCACCUUGCUCUUGGGGAGACUCGAACUCACAACCUCUCGGUUGGAAGUGGGAGUUGCUUACCAUCAGAGCAACCCCUCUUGUCUGAUAGCAUUCUAAUACAACUACUCCAUUUCAUGAUUGCUCAUUUAACCUUGCAAGCUGCAACACACAUUCCCGCGCAGGAGAGAAAGUACCUCCACAAGCUCUGUAGAAAAUCUUAGUUUUCUUUGUUGUUGCUCUAGUUAUUUAUAAUAUUUUUUAUACUAAUAAAGCUAGAAAAGUAAUCAAUGAGCAAACGAAUAACAUAACUACUGGCAGAUAGUUUCCAACUUCAACCCAUCAAAUUAAGUCAAUCUUCAUAAUAUGGAAGGAUAGUAAGCUACAUGUUUAAAAAUAUGCUUAUCCAAGGUUCUUCCAUUAUUUAGUUAAAACUCAUCCAUCUCAGACGAAAUCCUAUAACAGGUAGCAAAUCAAAACUUGCAACCAACCUGAAUUUGCUCAAGGUUCUUCCGUUAUUUAGUUAAAACUCAUCCAUCUCAGACGAAAUCCUAUAACAGGUAGCAAAUCAAAACUUGCAACCAACCUGAAUUUGCUGGAUACCAGUCAGAUCUUUGCAGAAAUCACUCAAUAUUUGAUUGCA
rnacentral:lncRNA from 1 species